rnacentral:tRNA from 1 species
GCCCGGGUGGUGAAAUUGGUAGACACGCCACUUUGAGGGGGUGGUGCCGGUUACGGUGUGUGAGUUCGAAUCUCAUCUCGGGCA